AACACGCUAAGCGAGAGGAGCUC
rnacentral:miRNA from 1 species